GUCCCCUGCACAGGAGCAGACCAGCAUUACAGGCAGCAUGGAACAGGAAGAAGUGCAUGAACCCCACAUCUGGCUGAGGAGAUAUUGACUUCAGAUAGCUUCUGGGAGAAGGAGGGCCAGGUUUCUUUAAGUUUGGCCCCUAUAGGUUGGAAGCUCCAGGGGAUGACUCCACAUUCAGGAAUAUAUGAGUGGUGCAAACGGGACUUGGGCGACCCCACCCUAAGCUGCUAACCAGUGAGGGAGACAUCCGCCCACUUAAAAACUCCUGUCCCAGGGACAUCCCUGGGAUUGGAACUGAUGGAUCAAGAGGUAACUCCAGGUUCGCUUGACAGUGUGGAGGCUCCCGUUCACACGCCCACCAGGAAGGAUGUGGGGGCUCCAGCGGCUGCCUCUUAUAUUCAAGUCACCCAGGAAGAACAAUGCCCUGACCUCAUAGUACCACUGCAUUCAACAACUCUACAUAAGGAAGGAAUACAAGGCUCGCCCGCUUUCUUCAGCAACAUUUGUGCGUAGUCAAGAGUACAAACAAGCCAAAUCUCAGAAUUCUGGAAACUGUUAACUUUGGGUAGGUUAAGACCAACCUUAUGAACUGUCUUCAGCUUCGCAGGUAGAGCAAGAGGAAGCAGCCUCCACACCUGGCAUUCACGAUUACAUACGUCCACUCACCUUUGAUAUUGGCCUUUGUCCACUGCACGGCUGUCUU
rnacentral:lncRNA from 1 species